UACGGAGGGAGCUAGCGUUGUUCGGAAUUACUGGGCGUAAAGCGUGCGUAGGCGGUUAUUUAAGUCUGUUGCGAAAUCCCCGGGCUCAACCUGGGAAUGGCAAUGGAUACUGGAUAGCUAGAGUGUGAUAGAGGAUGGUGGAAUUCCCGGUGUAGUGGUGAAAUGCAUAGAUAUCGGGAGGAACACCAGUGGCGAAGGCGACUUCCUGGCCUGUUCUUGACGCUGAGGCGGCGAAAAGCUAGGGUAGCAAACGGG
rnacentral:rRNA from 1 species